CCGACCUCGGAUCAGACG
rnacentral:rRNA from 3 species